AGCAGACGACCAUAUCACUUCAGAGGUUUUUUUUUUUAAAAAAAAAAAAUACUGUUGGCAUUGGCUUCAGAAGAGGCCCAGGUUCCUGAUGAUCAUGCAGUAGAAAAUUGCUUUGGAUCUUUAUAUACGUAAUGUGAAUACGGGUAUAGUAGGCCACCAGCAGCUGCCACUACCAAUGUAUACCUUUUUCUUGACAGCCAUUUAUUUAUGUUGACUGCUCACAAAGACAACAGAUAGAUUGUUAAUACACCCAUGCAAAAGGUCACCCCCACGGUAGGUUCAAGAAAGCAAAUGAACAUGAACGUAUUUGCUCAUAGAGACAUGCUUUGUAAAUAUGAAAGGGAAGUUUGCGGACAUGAAUUUGGCUACCAGUUCAUCUGAUAUGGUCUGAAAUCAAUUUCCAUUGAACAUUGUAGAUCAAAGUUUCUCCAAAAGUUUCAGUCACUCCUGUAGGUUUCAUUUAAACUAAGCAAGAAAAGUUAUCAUUAGCAAGAAAAAAAUUCAACUGAAAUAGCACAAAAUCAUGCUUUCACCUUGAAAAUAAAAUUUAAAAAGUAUUGAAUUCUUUUAUUUCAAACAUAGAAAUUAACUAGAAAAUAAUCAAUUGAAUUAAAUUUUUAUAAAAUUUUAUACUCUAAACAGGGUAGUGAAGUGCAAUUGCCCGUCCUCUCUCUGGCUCCUGAGGCAUAAACGACCCCAUGCCAUGCACUCAUGGCCUUCUUUCCAGGCAAAGCUGCACGCGCGCGCGCGCGCACACACACAGAACUGCUUCUAAAAAACUAGCAUUAUAGACAAACAGUCAUUAUAGCGGUUAAGCAUAAAAGGAUACUUAAAAUUUGGCUCUGCUUGAUUAUUAGAAAAAUGCCAAUACAAGAUAAUCACAUACUAACACAAUUCAACCUCUGGCACGAAUGAUUGGCAAAACAAAUUUAUAAAGCAGAUACAUAAUCCAUCACCCUUCGGCUAUGGCAACAUUUUACCACGUAGAAAUAAGCCAUCAACAAGAAAUUCACUCCCAUGAGCAAAAGCUACAAGGGAAUGCUAAGAAGCUCUUAAGGAAUGGUGCGCUGAUAGAGAGGCAAAGCUCCCAAAGCCUCACGUUCAGCUUUUUCCUUCUUCACCUGCAGGCAUGACAGACAAAACUUUAUACCUUUCAUAUUUGUUGGUAGGUUAACCAUUAAAUUGAAUUCAUUCUUCAGAAGUACAAAUCUUUAAGUAAAAGUUAAGCGUGCAUUUCUUACAAACAACUUUAACAAUGCCUGCAUACUUGGGCACAUCACCUUUUUGGCAUCUCUUGUAAUGAAUGUGUCACUUAACAAAGCAAGAAGUAAACCUAGAAAAAUGCCUAGGUGAGCAAUCAAACCAUAACUCAGACCAGCUCAUUUGUUUAGACAACAAUCAUAAAAAUUUUGGAUCUGAUCAUUAUCCUGUAAUGAUGCACAAAGCUUUACAAAAAAUGAUGUCAAUCUUACUCAAAUAAACAACUUUCAUCUUACAAUUGGAUUGAUCUUCAUGUUACGAAGGGAACUAAUACAAAAUAUUGAGAAUUUUUAUUUUAUUUUAUUAUUAUGAUGAUAUAAUAAUGAUUAUUGGGAGUUGCCACAUAUGACACCUUAGCUUUGUCACGUAACAAAGCUGCAAAUAUGAAGGCUUCAAUAGAUACAUGCAACAGGCAUUUUACUUUAGUCUAUGGCCAUUAGAUAGAACCAACAAGUGCAAAAUAUAACAAGAUGUAACGUAUAAGCAAACUGUUCAGUAAUAUAAUAGGAAAUAACUAUUAGUGUGGAUUACAAAUUCCACUUUGAGUUGGCAAAUGGACACAAACAAAAGGCCAAAUAUUUUUGUAAGAUCAAAAUGAAGUGCAAUAGAAGAGUGAAGAGAAUAUCAAAUAAGAUGGUUUGGUCAUGUCUAAUGUAGAGAAUCAAAUGCUUCUAUAUGGAAAUGUGAUAAAUUAAUGGUGUAAAGAAUGAGGAGGAAAAGCGGGAAACCUAGAAUGAUGCAGAGAGAAGUAGUAUCAAAAAAUUUAGAAAUUUUGAAUAUUGAUGUGGAAUUGAUCUCAAACAGAGCUAAAUGGAGAAAAAAGACCCAUAUAGCCAACUCCAAUGAGUUUGAGAUUAAGGCUUAGUUGU
rnacentral:misc_RNA from 1 species